UACAGAGGGUGCGAGCGUUAAUCGGAAUUACUGGGCGUAAAGCGUGCGUAGACGGUUAUUUAAGUCGGGUGUGAAAGCCCCGGGCUCAACCUGGGAAUUGCAUUCGAGACUGAAUAGCUAGGGUACGGUAGAGGGAAGCGGAAUUCCCGGUGUAGCGGUGAAAUGCGCAGAUAUCGGGAAGAACACCCGUGGCGAAGGCGGUUCUCUGGGACGGUACUGACGCUGAGACGCGAAAGCGUGGGGAGCGAACAGG
rnacentral:rRNA from 1 species